ACUCCUACGGGAGGCAGCAGUGGGGAAUAUUGCACAAUGGGCGGAAGCCUGAUGCAGCAACGCCGCGUGCGGGAUGACGGCCUUCGGGUUGUAAACCGCUUUCGCCUGUGACGAAGCGGUGAGUAGACGGUAAUGGGUUAAAGAAGCACCGGCUAACUACGUAGCCAGCAGCCGGCGUGAUACGUAGGGUGCGAGCGUUGUCCGGAUUUAUUGGGCGUAAAGGGCUCGUAGGUGGUUGAUCGCGUCGGAAGUGUAAUCUUGGGGCUUAACCCUGAGCGUGCUUUCGAUACGGGUUUGAACUUGGAGGAA
rnacentral:rRNA from 1 species